UACGUAGGGGUGCGAGCGUUUGUCCGGAAUUACUGGGCGUAAAGAGCUCGUAGGUGGUUUGUCGCGUUGUCCGUGAAAACUCACAACUCAAUUGUGGGCGUGCGGGCGAUACGGGCAGACUGGAGUACUGCAGGGGGAGACUGGAAUUCCUGGUGUAGCGGUGGAAUGCGCAGAUAUCAGGAGGAACACCGGUGGCGAAGGCGGGUCUCUGGGCAGUAACUGACGCUGAGGAGCGAAAGCGUGGGGAGCGAACAGG
rnacentral:rRNA from 1 species